rnacentral:rRNA from 1 species
GAUAAACGCUGGCGGCGUGCCUAAUACAUGCAAGUCGAGCGAACGGACGAGAAGCUUGCUUCUCUGAUGUUAGCGGCGGACGGGUGAGUAACACGUGGAUAACCUACCUAUAAGACUGGGAUAACUUCGGGAAACCGGAGCUAAUACCGGAUAAUAUUUUGAACCGCAUGGUUCAAAAGUGAAAGACGGUCUAGCUGUCACUUAUAGAUGGAUCCGCGCUGCAUUAGCUAGUUGGUAAGGUAACGGCUUACCAAGGCAACGAUGCAUAGCCGACCUGAGAGGGUGAUCGGCCACACUGGAACUGAGACACGGUCCAGACUCCUACGGGAGGCAGCAGUAGGGAAUCUUCCGCAAUGGGCGAAAGCCUGACGGAGCAACGCCGCGUGAGUGAUGAAGGUCUUCGGAUCGUAAAACUCUGUUAUUAGGGAAGAACAUAUGUGUAAGUAACUGUGCACAUCUUGACGGUACCUAAUCAGAAAGCCACGGCUAACUACGUGCCAGCAGCCGCGGUAAUACGUAGGUGGCAAGCGUUAUCCGGAAUUAUUGGGCGUAAAGCGCGCGUAGGCGGUUUUUUAAGUCUGAUGUGAAAGCCCACGGCUCAACCGUGGAGGGUCAUUGGAAACUGGAAAACUUGAGUGCAGAAGAGGAAAGUGGAAUUCCAUGUGUAGCGGUGAAAUGCGCAGAGAUAUGGAGGAACACCAGUGGCGAAGGCGACUUUCUGGUCUGUAACUGACGCUGAUGUGCGAAAGCGUGGGGAUCAAACAGGAUUAGAUACCCUGGUAGUCCACGCCGUAAACGAUGAGUGCUAAGUGUUAGGGGGUUUCCGCCCCUUAGUGCUGCAGCUAACGCAUUAAGCACUCCGCCUGGGGAGUACGACCGCAAGGUUGAAACUCAAAGGAAUUGACGGGGACCCGCACAAGCGGUGGAGCAUGUGGUUUAAUUCGAAGCAACGCGAAGAACCUUACCAAAUCUUGACAUCCUUUGACAACUCUAGAGAUAGAGCCUUCCCCUUCGGGGGACAAAGUGACAGGUGGUGCAUGGUUGUCGUCAGCUCGUGUCGUGAGAUGUUGGGUUAAGUCCCGCAACGAGCGCAACCCUUAAGCUUAGUUGCCAUCAUUAAGUUGGGCACUCUAAGUUGACUGCCGGUGACAAACCGGAGGAAGGUGGGGAUGACGUCAAAUCAUCAUGCCCCUUAUGAUUUGGGCUACACACGUGCUACAAUGGACAAUACAAAGGGCAGCGAAACCGCGAGGUCAAGCAAAUCCCAUAAAGUUGUUCUCAGUUCGGAUUGUAGUCUGCAACUCGACUACAUGAAGCUGGAAUCGCUAGUAAUCGUAGAUCAGCAUGCUACGGUGAAUACGUUCCCGGGUCU